rnacentral:sRNA from 2 species
CCGAGUCUGGAGCCGAAGACGGGGAAGUCUGAGGCAACGGAACCGGGGAACCACGUUUCCCUGGGGUGAAUCACACGCAAGGCGGCACCACCACCGUGGAGCGUGUGUAGGGCUUCUUUGUGCCCGAACCCGUCAGCUCACCCGGUAGGCGUCGAACAAAGAGGGA